ensembl:lncRNA
AAACUAGCGGGGCUGUUAAUUUCCAACUCCUGCAGAUAAGAAUACAAACAAAUUACUUAAACUUGUAUUUUGCUCGAUAUUUCGCAUGCCUCGGUGGGAUAAAAUAAAAUUUAAUUACGAUGCCACUGGAGCUGGUAGGGAGCCGCCCCCCCUUCUUCCAUCCUUCCCUCCCUCCCUCCCUCCCUUCGGAGCAGGUUGCAGUGAAUGAGCGCCUUUGGGUCACUCCAGUUCCCGGGCAGAGUUAUUCAGACAUGGAAACAAAAUGAAGCCAUUUAACUUCAAAGAAAGUUGCCGUGUUUUCCAGCGCCACGAGCUGAAACACAAUACCCCCACCGGAACGAUAAGAAUCAGCUGUCAGAGGACAAUGCGCGUUGCACGGGGAGGGGAAAAGCUGCUCUGGGGCAAAGCGUGCAUCGCGCAGGACCCUAAGCGGGUGCGGGCGGCUGUUAGCUUCAUUUGCAUGGCAGCGUUAUCUCCCAUUUCCGUCUUCUGUGUGCCGAUAACAAAGCCGGGGAACAAAGUCUGGAAGUUGCUAAGUGGGCUCGGGUUCUGCGCCGAGGUGAGUGCCAAGGGUGUCCCCUCUUCCCAGCCCAGCCUGGACGAAACAGGGCUAUGCGUGCUGCCAACCGUGCCUAAAGGAGCUCAGGGGUAACCUGGCACGCACCGCUCUUUGGACAGCUUUCAGCUGCUGUUCUCGUGGGCUCUGCGGAUGUUUUGUAUUGCACUACCGAAGCGACACCUGAGAGGUAACGCGGGGUGGUGCUUUGCGAGCUCCUGAAUUUAACAAUAAUAACAAUUUCAAAAAGAAGUGCUUUGCCUGUCUGGUUCCUGCGCGUUCAGAGACCUAACUCAGCUCAGCUGCAGUAAAGCGAAGAGACAUAAAAGGAGGCCGUACACGCAGACCAAGUCCGUCACGCUGAAGCAGCAGUUGUUGCCCCCGGCCCUCCCCUGCGACUGGAUGCAACGUGGGAUAGCGUUGCUCAGAGAAACUUAACCAGACGCGCAGCGCCCACUAGCGCCCGUGCAGCCGGAGCCGCGCUAUGCUG